CAAUAGCGUAUAUUAAAGUUGUUGCAGUUAAAAAGCUCGUAGUUGGAUUUCGGUUAAGAGCGACCGGUCCGCCGUUUGGUGUGCACUGGUUGGUUUUAACUUCCUGUAGAGGACGUGCUCUGGGUUUAACGACCUGGACUCGGAGUCUACGUGGUUACUUUGAAAAAAUUAGAGUGUUCAAAGCGGGCUUACGCUUGAAUAUUUCAGCAUGGAAUAACACUAUAGGACUCCUGUCCUAUUUCGUUGGUCUCGGGACGGGAGUAAUGAUUAAGAGGAACAGUUGGGGGCAUUCGUAUUUCAUUGUCAGAGGUGAAAUUCUUGGAUUUAUGAAAGACGAACUUCUGCGAAANCANNNGCCAAGGAUGUUUUCAUNAA
rnacentral:rRNA from 1 species